rnacentral:rRNA from 1 species
UACGAAGGAUGCGAGCGUUAUCCGGAUUUAUUGGGUUUAAAGGGAGUCGUAGGCUGGUCGUUAUAAGUCAGUGGUGAAAUCUCGUUGCUUAACACGAACGUGCCAUUGAUACUGUAGGACUUGAGUACAGUUGCCGUUGGCGGAAUGUGUCAUGUAGCGGUGAAAUGCAUAGAUAUGUCACAGAACACCGAUUGCGAAGGCAGCUUACUAUGGUUUUAUUGACGCUGAGGCACUGAAAGCGUGGGGAUCAAACAGGA